UGGGGAAUAUUGCACAAUGGGCGCAAGCCUGAUGCAGCCAUGCCGCGUGUGUGAAGAAGGCCUUCGGGUUGUAAAGCACUUUCAGCGGGGAGGAAGGCGAUAAGGUUAAUAACCUUGUCGAUUGACGUCACCCGCAGAAGAAGCACCGGCUAACUCCGUGCCAGCAGCCGCGGUAAUACGGAGGGUGCAAGCGUUAAUCGGAAUUACUGGGCGUAAAGCGCACGCAGGCGGUCUGUCAAGUCGGAUGUGAAAUCCCCGGGCUUAACCUUGGAACUGCAUUCGAAGCUGGCAGGCUAGAGUCUUGUAGAGGGGGGUAGAAUUCCAGGUGUGGCGGUGAAAUGCGUAGAGAUCUGGAGGAAUACCGGGGGCGAGGACGGCCCCCUGGACGAAGACUGACGCUCAGGUGCGAAAGCGUGGGGAGCAAACAGG
rnacentral:rRNA from 1 species